UGGGGAAUAUUGCACAAUGGGCGCAAGCCUGAUGCAGCCAUGCCGCGUGUAUGAAGAAGGCCUUCGGGUUGUAAAGUACUUUCAGCGGGGAGGAAGGGAGUAAAGUUAAUACCUUUGCUCAUUGACGUUACCCGCAGAAGAAGCACCGGCUAACUCCGUGCCAGCAGCCGCGGUAAUACGGAGGGUGCAAGCGUUAAUCGGAAUUACUGGGCGUAAAGCGCACGCAGGCGGUUUGUUAAGUCAGAUGUGAAAUCCCCCGGCUCAACCUGGGAACUGAAUCUGAUACUGGCAAGCUUGAGUCUCGUAGAGGGGGGUAGAAUUCCAGGUGUAGCGGUGAAAUGCGUAGAGAUCUGGAGGAAUACCGGUGGCGAAGGCGGCCCCCUGGACGAAGACUGACGCUCAGGUGCGAAAGCGUGGGGAGCAAACAGG
rnacentral:rRNA from 1 species